GGAGCGGCUGUGAUGGUGGUGGCGGUCGGAGGUUCGAGAGCUCUUCUCUUCCGCGGACCGUGCGGGCGUCCCGAGUAGAUGGGGAUAUGGAGGCCCAAAGUGGUCAAAUGCCUUGCCCGUGGACAUACAGAUGGUGCAUGGCAGGGGGCGAAGAGGGAGGGGCUGAAACACUGGACCGGCUCCCGAGCAGGGAGCUCCUCAUCUAAUGGCCAAGAGGACGCAAGCAGAUGGCUGCUUUCCAGCUAAAACUUUUAGGCCAUUUUUAUCUCUCAAAAUGGGAAUUGUUUGAUCUCUUGUUGUCUUCUAAUUAUGAAAGUAAUAAAUGAUCAUCAUAAAGAAUUCUCAGGUGCUCUAAAAUAUGAGUUCCUCUCCCCAACCCUGAUACUCCAACACCUCCUCUCCCAAAUCCUGCCUACCCACAGUCUGGUAAAGUGCUUUUCUUCCUUUAAAAACUAUGUCAGGAAUAUCUUUCCAUCUCAAUACUUGGAGUGACAUAGUUAGUUUUAACGGCCGCUGUGUAUGAACGUGCCAUAAUUCAUUUAAU